AGUGAACGCUGGCGGUAGGCCUAACACAUGCAAGUCGAACGGCAGCACAGUAAGAGCUUGCUCUUACGGGUGGCGAGUGGCGGACGGGUGAGGCAUACAUCGGAAUCUACUUUUUCGUGGGGGAUAACGUAGGGAAACUUACGCUAAUACCGCAUACGACCUACGGGUGAAAGCAGGGGAUCUUCGGACCUUGCGCGAUUGAAUGAGCCGAUGUCGGAUUAGCUAGUUGGCGGGGUAAAGGCCCACCAAGGCGACGAUCCGUAGCUGGUCUGAGAGGAUGAUCAGCCACACUGGAACUGAGACACGGUCCAGACUCCUACGGGAGGCAGCAGUGGGGAAUAUUGGACAAUGGGCGCAAGCCUGAUCCAGCCAUACCGCGUGAGUGAAGAAGGCCUUCGGGUUGUAAAGCCCUUUUGUUGGGAAAGAAAAGCAGCAGGUUAAUCCCCCGCUGUUCUGACGGUACCCAAAGAAUAAGCACCGGCUAACUUCGUG
rnacentral:rRNA from 1 species